GACGAACGCUGGCGGCGCGCCUAACACAUGCAAGUCGAACGGAGUCAAGAGGAGCUUGCUUUUCUUGACUUAGUGGCGAACGGGUGAGUAACGCGUGUGUAACCUGCUCUGGAGUGGGGGACAACAGUUGGAAACGACUGCUAAUACCGCAUAAGCCCACGGAUCCGCAUGGAUCUGCGGGAAAAGGAUUUAUUCGCUUCAGGAUGGACUCGCGUCCAAUUGGCUAGUUGGUGAGGUAACGGCCCACCAAGGCGACGAAUGGUGGCCGGACUGAGAGGUUGACCGGCCACAUUGGGACUGAGACACGGCCCAGACUCCUACGGGAGGCAGCAGUGGGGGAUAUUGCACAAUGGGGGAAACCCUGAUGCAGCGACGCCGCGUGGAGGAAGAAGGUUUUCGGAUUGUAAACUCCUGUCGUUAGGGACGAUAAUGACGGUACCUAACAAGAAAGCACCGGCUAACUACGUG
rnacentral:rRNA from 1 species